rnacentral:rRNA from 1 species
GACGAACGCUGGCGGCGUGCCUAAUACAUGCAAGUCGAACGCUGAAGGAGGAGCUUGCUCUUCUGGAUGAGUUGCGAACGGGUGAGUAACGCGUAGGUAACCUGCCUGGUAGCGGGGGAUAACUAUUGGAAACGAUAGCUAAUACCGCAUAACAGUAGAUGUUGCAUGACAUUUGCUUAAAAGGUGCAAUUGCAUCACUACCAGUUGGACCUGCGUUGUAUUAGUUAGUUGGUGGGGUAACGGCUCACCAAGGCGACGAUACAUAGUCGACCUGAGAGGGUGGUCGGCCACACUGGGACUUAGACACGGCCCAGACUCCUACGGGAGGCAACAGUAAGGAAUCUUCGGCAAUGGACGGAAGUCUGACCGGACAACGCCGCGGGGGGGAAGAAAGUUUUCGGAUCGUAAAGCUCUGUUGUAAGGGAAGAAAGAGUGGGGGAAGGGAAAGUGCACACUGUGACGGUAUCUUACCAGAAAGGGACGGCUAACUACGUG